GAUGAACGCUGGCGGCGUGCCUAAUACAUGCAAGUCGAGCGAACGGACGAGAAGCUUGCUUCUCUGAUGUUAGCGGCGGACGGGUGAGUAACACGUGGAUAACCUACCUAUAAGACUGGGAUAACUUCGGGAAACCGGAGCUAAUACCGGAUAAUAUUUUGAACCGCAUGGUUCAAAAGUGAAAGACGGUCUUGCUGUCACUUAUAGAUGGAUCCGCGCUGCAUUAGCUAGUUGGUAAGGUAACGGCUUACCAAGGCAACGAUGCAUAGCCGACCUGAGAGGGUGAUCGGCCACACUGGAACUGAGACACGGUCCAGACUCCUACGGGAGGCAGCAGUAGGGAAUCUUCCGCAAUGGGCGAAAGCCUGACGAAGCAACGCCGCGUGAGUGAUGAAGGUCUUCGGAUCGUAAAACUCUGUUAUUAGGGAAGAACAUAUGUGUAAGUAACUAUGCACAUCUUGACGGUACCUAAUCAGAAAGCCACGGCUAACUACGUG
rnacentral:rRNA from 1 species